rnacentral:tRNA from 1 species
GCAGGCACUUGGCCCCGACUCAUAAUCGUGGGGUCGGGGGUUCAAGUCCCCCCCUCGCCACCA